rnacentral:tRNA from 1 species
UUAAAGGUUAGUGAAUUUUUACAAGCACGUAUAAAUUUGAAUUAUAAAAAGGAAAUAACUAUUCCACCUUUA